GCAGAUGAUCAACCACUGAGCCACCCAGGUGCUCCUGAAGCCUCUUUCCUCAAAGAAUUUUGGGGUAAAAAAAAAAAAUCUCAACAAGAGCACUGAUUGGGCCAGCUUGGAUCACAUGUCUACUCCUGAAACUGAGGGGUACAGCCUCUCCCACUCAAACUGUGUGGAUUUAAGAUGGGGCAGGGUGAUUUCCCAAGAAUUCUUAGGUAUCUAAACAUGUAUCUGUGUACUAUAAACCUAUAAUUCAGCCUGUUCCAAACAUAAUUCUUUACCUCUUUUUCCUAAAUCAGCUCCUCCAUCUUUAGUCUAGUCUCAGAGAAUGAUGGCACUGUGUUUUACCAAGUUGGCUACACCAGAAAACUCAGAAACAUCCUAGACUUUCCCUUUCUUUGAAGCCCUGUAACCAAUCACUGCAUCUCUUCAUUUUGAAGGUAAUAUUUCUCAAACCUGUCGACUUCUAUCCAAUCUGAUUCUAUAAUCCAUUAUCUCUGGAUUUCUUCUGUAAGCUCCCUGACUGGUCUCUGUGCUUUCACUCUAAAGGAAUACUCUACAGUCUAAACACAUUUCUCAGUGGCAACACAGAGUGAACUUAUAAUGUCGAAUUCUGAUCAUUUUAGAGCCCAGUUUAAAUUACUUCAAUAGCUUUCAUUGCCCUCAGGAUAAACACAAAACUCUUGACAGGAUUGAAAAGGUCUGUCAUGAUUGGACCAUUGUGAAUACCAGUGCCAUAGAAUAAAAAUGUAUUUUGGGGGUCAAUUUUGCUUGCUGGUCAUUAAAGACUUUCUUUUUAUAAUAAUGGACUUAGCAUGAAGCAGAAUGCAAAAUUCAAAUAAUUUGAAGAUAAAAUACUUAGGGUAGAUGUGCAGCACUGGUGAAAUCUGGCUCUCCUCUCCAGGUAUGCAAUUGGAUUACCCUUCUUGGCCCUUCAAGGUUGGAUGUCUAAUUCUAGGGGCCUGAUUGAGUUGUACCAGCACAGAAUCGUCUGCUGAGAUUGUUGUUUAACUAUGGAUGUGAUCCUACUGAAAGAUCCAUUACUGGGCCGAGAUGCCCUCUCAAAGCAGAAAGUAGUCAAACUGAUUCUAUCAAGUAUGUUAAGAUAUUUCUACCUGGGGAAAGCUGUUGCAGUAGACUUCCAAGAACCGUCAGAUUCUAAGAUUUUAGUCCUGGGUACUGUUUAGGGCUAAAAUAACCAACCAAGACUCUUGCCUGAGUAUCUUCCAGGUAUUUCACUUCUUUUAUCUCUAAUCCUCUAAACAAUGUGGUAAGGUUGGUGUUAUUAUCCCUGUGUUACAAAUGAGGUCAUGGACACUCAGAGAGGUUCAUUUAACUGGUGAGUUGUUUAUCUGAAAUGCAGAACUAGGUCAGUCUCAUUCCAGCAUUUAUACUCUUUUCAUUGAACUUGCCCUGGGUGCUGGAAAGAUUCUGGGAAAGCACAGUGGUGUGGAGGGAUAUAUCUUUCCAUUACUGUGUUAUCCUCUUUGAUGACAUAGUUUAUCACAUGGUUAAAACAAAAAGCAAGACCAGCCUGUGUCUAAGGACUUCCUCUCUCCUCACCUGGAAGCUGUUCCUACGUGUCCUCUCGUGGCCUAUGAUCUAACGAGGCUCCCAUAUGUUCCGACGGUGAUAUCUCAGUUUCUAGUGUCACUGGCUUUCUGAGCAGCAACCAGAGUCAGGAAAUAGUCAAAGUGCAUUGAAAUGUCUGUGGGUAAGUGGGAUUCUGUGGAAUAUGAAGGGACCAUAUACCUUCAGACACUAAUCCAGGCAGCACCAUCCUGUACUUCUCUAAUGAGCUUGACCCAUGCCUUCUUUGUCUAUAUAUGUCCAAAUGCCUCAUCAAUCCUGCAUGUGUGUUAGUUGGGAUUGCUCUGUUUUCUGCCUCAUGAAUGGGAGUGAUUGGCCUCAGUAGAUGACUGAUUAUCAUAACCCAACUUUUCGCUGGCAAGAAUACUGGACUUGAGGGUGCCACAGUUCCACGGUUCUAAUUCUCUCUCCUUUGUGUUGGCAAACAGAUAAUGCAGGAUGCAAACAAAUAAACCCAGUCAACAAAUGCACAAACAAAAGAACCCAUUGACCAUGGAAACAACUCAUGAUAUUGCAAAAAAAAAAAAAAAAAAAAAAGUAUUUAUUUUUGAACAGUACAGAGAGAACACAUGGCCAGCCUAUGUUUGAAUCUGUAUUUUCCCUUUAUUGUUUUAUAACCUUGGGUAAGUCACUUAACCUCUUUGAGUCUUUGUUCUUUAUUUGUUAAGAGGGGAUAAUAAUUUUGACCUUAUAAGGUUGUUAUGAGGAAAAAGGAAAUCUGUGCAGACAUGCACCUAACUCAAGGUAUGGCAGUGAACCCUUGGUAGACAUCCCUGGCUUCUCUUUCUCCCCCUCCCUCCUGGGUCUACUGGCUUCUCUAGGCAAAGGUUGUUUUAGAAGGUGAAAGGACCCUUUCUUCCCAUUCAUUUAGAGGCAUCAAAUAGCCUUUGUCUUUUAAGAAUCUUGAAUUGUUUAUUUUGUAUGAGCUUUUAAAAAUAGCUUAGUUAGCAAUUCAGGAAACACAAUUACAAAAGGAUAAUCUAGACUCAACAAUGAUUGUAGUGGAAAAAAGAAUGAAAUGAAAAACAAAAGAGAAAGAAACAAGGAGAGUGGCGUAUACAUUAUUUACAAACAGGAACACUUUCUACGCACAAAUUCCAGGCACCUCAUUAUUUUGUAAACUAUAUAUUCUUCUCAAGUAUGGGGCAGUUUAAGUUAAUGAUGUGAUCCAUUCAUCCUGCCAUGUUUUAUUUAUGUUUUCUUCAACAGUGAAAUGAAUAGUCAGAAACAAUGCCCUGCUUAUUCUGUGAACAAGAAGAGGAAAGGGAAGUGUGUGUGUGUGUGUGUGUAUGCAUGUAUGUGUGUAUGCAUGUGUGUGUGUGUGUGUGUCUGUGUUUCUCCCCGUGAUUUACGACUCAGGAUGAUUUAAACCAAUUCUACCACAGGUUUAUUUUUUAAAACCUCUUAAUAAUGUUUAGAAAUGGAGCCUAAUACUGAGGACAGCAAAUGGCAAAAACUCUGCAGACCUCUCUGUUGAAGACCAACCCUGUUUCUCUCCUGCUUCAGUCUGAUUACCUCUGGGGAAUGUGCUGUUCCUUGGAACGAGUCAGCCCUGCACAAAAUAAGAGAGGUUGAAAAGUUUAGGACGUGGAAAAUAUGUGGAAUUUGCUCUUGAAUAGUGAUUUGUAUUUUUCUUUUGCAAUAAAUAUGACCAAUGACCCAGA